CCUACGGGAGACAGCAGUAGGGAAUUUUCGGCAAUGGGGGGAACCCUGACCGAGCAACGCCGCGUGAACGAAGAAGUUAUUCGUAAUGUAAAGUUCUUUUAACAGGGAAGAAAGAGAAAUUUGACGGUACCUGAAGAAUAAGCUCCGGCUAACUACGUGCCAGCAGCCGCGGUAAUACGUAGGGAGCGAGCGUUAUCCGGAAUUAUUGGGCGAAAAGGGUGCGUAGAUGGCAUAGUAAGUCUUUUGUAAAAAUGCUGGGCUCAACCCAGUAGGGCAAAAGAUACUGCAAAGCUAGAGUAUGACAGAGGCAAGGGGAACUACAUGUGUAGCGGUAAAAUGCGUAAAUAUAUGUAAGAACACCAGUGGCGAAGGCGGCUUGCUGGGUCGAUACUGACAUUGAGGCACGAAAGCGUGGGGAGCAAACAGGAUUAGAUACCCCUGUAGUC
rnacentral:rRNA from 1 species